GAUUUAAUUAAUUAAUUUUUGUAUAUUUAAUUUUUAUUUUAUAAAAGUAAUUUACUUUUUUAUUGUUUAAGUAUUUGGUUAGAAUAAAUUUUUUGAUUUAUAGUUUAUUAGUAUUGUGAAAGAAAUUUAUUUAAAUUUUAAUAAGAAUAGAAUUAGUACCUUUUGUAUCAGGGUUAAUUAAAAUUUUUAAUUUAUAAUUAAAUUCUCAAAAUUUAUAGAGUUAAUUUUAUUAUUAAUUUAUUGUUUUAUAAGUAUUUAAAAAAUAAUUUUAGUUUUGAAAUUUAAUUCGAUAUAUUAUAUUUAGUUAUUUAAGAUUUAAAUUUAAUUUAAAAUUUUAAAAGUUUAAUUGAUUUUAUUAAUAUAAAUUUUAAAGUUAAAUUAUUUUAGGGAUAAGCUUGAAAUUUUUAUAUAAUAAUUUUAUUGAUUAAUAAUUUGUAGGAAUAGAAAUUUUUAUUGUAAGUUUGUAAAAAUUUAUUAUUUAAUUAAAUUAAGAUUUAUUAUAAAUUAUUUAUUGAAAAUAUUAAAUUUUAUAAAUUAAUAAUAUAUUUAUAGAAAUUAUGAUUAAAUUAGUAUAAUAGAUAUUUAUAAAUUAUGAAUUCGGCAAAAAUUAUUUUCAUCUGUUUAACAAAAACAUUGUAUUAAGUUUUAUUUAAUAUAGGAUCUGCUCAAUGAUUUAAUUAAAUAGCUGCAGUAUUUUUGACUGUGCAAAGGUAGCAUAAUAAUUAGUCUUUUAAUUGAGGACUUGUAUGAAAGAUUUGAUGAAAAAUAAACUUUAUUAUUUAUAUAAUUAAAAUUUUAUUUUUUAAGUAAAAAAGCUUAAAUAUUUUAAAUGUACGUUGACAGGAUCGUAUACAAACUUGACUACAUAAUAAACUAAUUUUAAUUUUUUGGAUUAUAAUAUUUAGAUUUAAUUAUUAUUUUAUUGGGGUGAUAAAAAAAUAUUUUAACUUUUUUUUAAAUUAACAUAAAUUAAUGAUUUUUUGAAUUAAAAAUUUUAAUUAAUAAAAAGGUUACUUUAGGGAUAACAGCGUAAAUUAAUUUUUUAAAGUUCAAAUUUAAAAAUUAGUUUGCGACCUCGAUGUUGAAAUUAAGAAAAUUAUUGGGUGCAAAAUUUCAAUUUUUAGGUCUGUUCGACCUUUAAAUUCUUACAUGAUUUGAGUUCAAACCGGUGUGAGCCAGGUUGGUUUCUAUCUUUUAAAAAAUUAUUUGUUUUAGUACGAAAGGAUUAAAUAGAUAAAUUAAAUUUUUUUUAUAUGAAUUAAUUUAAUACUA
rnacentral:rRNA from 1 species